rnacentral:rRNA from 1 species
UACAGAGGGCGCGAGCGUUGUCCGGAAUCACUGGGCGUAAAGGGCGCGUAGGUGGCCACCAUAAGGCCGCGGUGAAAGUCUGGGGCUCAACCCCAGAUCGGCCGCGGCGACUGUGGGGGCUGGGUACUGUAGAGGCGGUGGAAUUCCGGGUGUAGCGGUGGAAUGCGUAGAGAUCCGGAAGAACGCCAGUGGCGAAGGCGGG